UUCUGUUCUCUGUUUUUAUCUACUCCUCCUCUUCACUACUCUGUAUCAUCUUUCUUUUAGUUCUCCAUGCCUCUGCUUGGUGCAGUGUGAUUCAUGUGUUGUCCCUCAAGAGAUUCCUGAUUCCAGGUGGAUCGUCCUGCACCCUUCAGGAUGAUCUAAAGUGAGCAAACGCUUUAAUUCUGACCAGGACUGUGAAACAUCAUGAGCGUUUAUGCUGUGCUGAGUCAGCAAUCCUUUUACUCCUUCGGGUCUCUCUUUGAUCGCUCUUCAGCUGCCGCUUCUGUCAGGUCAACCAGUCAGACUCCUCAGGCUGGAUCUGAGCCCCCCAGGAGUGAACUGGAUCCCCGUCAACAUGUGGAGGAAUCAUUGCUGCCUCGAUUUUAACAAGAAAGACAAGCCGAGCGCAGAAACCUCGGACUCGCUCCGAGUCCAGCAAACACCAGAGCGGCCGCAGACGGACGCCGCGCUUCAGGAGCGUUCAUAUCUGUCAGUGGAAGACAUGAUAAACUCCAGAUGUGUGUUUGAAAUUCAAACCAACUUCAGGUUCAAAAGGGCGAUCAGUCAUCGCCAAAGACGGAUUCUGAGUCUAAAGCUUCAACUUUUGGCAAAAGGAAUAAAACCAACAAGAAAUUGGCUUAAAAAACAGGAAUUUUUCUGUAUUUCCUGAACAAACUUAAGGGCUUAGUUUAACUAGGAAAGAUUUUUUCUCUCAAAUUUGGAUGUAGAUUUCAGGUCGAAAGCCUCAGAAUGGAAUCAAAAAUCUCUAAGAAAUGAAGUCAAAGAAUAAAAUAAACAUGUCAUAUAAAAAAAACUCUGUUUAUUCAGAUCAGCUAAACAAACAACCCUCUGUAACUGUUACUAAUACUGAUUUUAUCCAACAAAAAUUCCCAAACUGACUUUUUUAAGAGUUUGGCGCCUAAACGAUGGUAAAAACGAGCAGCAUUAAACGGUACCAGCUGCUCCUCCUGCAGGCAUAAGCAGGAGGUCCAUCAUAAAGGAGGAGAAGGAGGACCAAAGAUUGAAAGUGACAGUCCAAAGCAACCAAAGAACUUCUUUACAUCCAGGACUGAUGAUAGACAAAUGUUCACAUCUCAACUAAAAGUGAACAUAAGAACUUCAUUAACUUACACAUCACGUGCACAUCUUGCGUGUGCAGCUUUCCUCCAUGAUCAGGAGCCAAGGAACCAGGUGUGUCAGUCAAUCAGGAUGACUGGAUCAUUUUCCUUACCGGUAAAGAGGGUCUGAGAGCAGAAAUCCCCAGUUUAGUUUAUCAAUCAGCUAUUGUUUAUAUUUUAUGACUGGUUUUAAGCUUUUGGUGUGAAGCCCAGUGAGACAACCGCAUUUUUAUAUUGGGCUAUAAAAACAAAUAAAUUAAUUAAAAAAUAUUGAGCUGUAUAAAUACCAUUGAAUUACUGAUCAUUUCCAAUACACUUUCCAGGGGCAUAAAAAUGGUACGUUCCAUUUUCAGGACGUCCCUUGAGGGGGUCGUACAAUCGCAUCUGUGCUCCCCUACUUAUAUUUUUGUUCUUUAAAAUAUAUUUUCACCAAUUUUAAAAGGUUUACAUCAUGUAAACUUAACUUUUUGAGAUUUUAAGUGUAUUAAAAUAGUAAUUCCUCACAAAAACAUUCCCAAAUCAGUAUUUUGAUCAUGCAUCUCUGAACAUUCCUCUAAAACCUGCUUCCUGAGCACCAGC